UACGUAGGGUGCGAGCGUUGUCCGGAAUUAUUGGGCGUAAAGAGCUCGUAGGCGGUGUGUCGCGUCGGCCGUGAAAACCUGCAGCUUAACUGUGGGCUUGCGGUCGAUACGGGCAUCACUGGAGUUCGGCAGGGGAGACUGGAAUUCCUGGUGUAGCGGUGAAAUGCGCAGAUAUCUGGAGGAACACCGGUGGCGAAGGCGGCAUUCUGGACCGACAUUGACGCUGAGGAGCGAAAGCCAGGGGAGCAAACGGG
rnacentral:rRNA from 1 species